UCUGAAUGUGGUGAAUAUCACCUCUCAAUCUCCGGCCAGUGCUGUCGCCGAACUUCUUAGGAAACAAAUGUUCGGUGGAACCACAGAGGCCUCGGAUCCACGUCUACUUGCCCUUACUGGUCUUUUAGCCAGUUCUACCAAGGAACAAGCAUCCUUCCGAUCUCGAUCUCGUGAAGAGCUUGGGAAUACAAUCAGGGAGAUGCUUCUGAUGGUAAGUUAUUUUUCCAUUUCUCUUUUGGUUUUCUUUAUUUCUUUCUUUUGACGGUUGUUCUUUUGUGUUAGGUGACGGGCCUCUUUAUGGAGGUGGACGCUCGGGACCACUCUCUCCGGGAGUCUGUGGAUCGCCGGAUUGAAGAAGCGCGCUUGGAGGAGAAUAUAUCUGCCACCAGCGAUGCCAGAGGCAAUCUCUUAGCUGCCCG
rnacentral:lncRNA from 1 species